rnacentral:rRNA from 1 species
GGACUACUGGGGUAUCUAAUCCUGUUUGCUCCCCACGCUUUCGUACAUGAGCGUCAGUCUUAUCCCAGGGGGCUGCCUUCGCCAUCGGUGUUCCUCCACAUCUCUACGCAUUUCACUGCUACACGUGGAAUUCCACCCCCCUCUGACAGACUCUAGCUAUGCAGUCACAAAUGCAGUUCCCAGGUUAGGCCCGGGGAUUUCACACCUGUCUUACAUAGCCGCCUGCGUACGCUUUACGCCCAGUAAUUCCGAUUAACGCUUGCACCCUACGUAUUACCGCGGCUGCUGGCAC